rnacentral:rRNA from 1 species
CUACGGGGGGCUGCAGCAGGGAAUAUUGCACAAUGGGCGAAAGCCUGAUGCAGCGACGCCGCGUGCGGGAUGAAGGCCUUCGGGUUGUAAACCGCUUUCAGGAGGGACGAAAAUGACGGUACCUCCAGAAGAAGGCCCGGCCAACUACGUGCCAGCAGCCGCGGUAAUACGUAGGGGCCAAGCGUUGCCCGGAUUUAUUGGGCGUAAAGGGCUCGUAGGCGGUUUGACAAGUCGGUCGUGAAAGCCCGGGGCUCAACCCCGGGACGCCGGUCGAAACUGUCAUGACUAGGGUCCGGUAGAGGUGAGUGGAAUUCUCGGUGUAGCGGUGGAAUGCGCAGAUAUCGAGAGGAACACCAGUAGCGAAGGCGGCUCACUGGGCCGGUACCGACGCUGAGGAGCGAAAGCGUGGGGAGCAAACAGGAUUAGAUACCCGCGUAGUC